CGCUGCAUAUUGCUUAGUGAAGCAAUGGAUAAUGUGUUAUCUACUCAUUGGUCUGUGCUCACUAAUUACUGUUAGGUGAGGUGUAUAGAUUAGUGGGAUCACAGUACCCACUAAAGAUCGAUCACGUAAAAUUUUUUUUUUCUCCAUCUGAGGAGUGUGGGAGAUUCAAAAAAAUAGUGAGAGCCUUGUUUAUUUUUAAAAUUCAUAGAAUAAAUAUUUAAUAAGUAUAAAUAUCUAACUAAAAACUAUUCUCUCUAUAGAUAACUAUAUUGAGUGCUAAGCUUUUAACCCAUAUUCUUGACACAAAUAGGU
rnacentral:lncRNA from 1 species